rnacentral:lncRNA from 1 species
AACAACACUGCAAGAUCUCGCUCUACAGAUGCAGCAACACGCUUAGCAAAUGCAUCAACAAAGCUUGGUUCUAGAAGAAUUAAGCAAACAGAUCGGAAAAAAAGGAGAGACUCUAGAGGGGGAAGCCUCUGUUGGCUCUGCACAGAGUGAAUCUUGCCUCGCCGGGAAGAAGGUGAAAUUGCCUCUGUUUGAUGGUGAUGAUCCUGUGGCUUGGAUUACACGGGCCGAAAUUUAUUUCGAUGUUCAGAAUACAUCGGAUGAUAUGCGUGUGAAGUUGGCUCGCCUGAGCAUGGAAGGUUCAACCAUUCAUUGGUUCAACCUGAUGAUGAUCCUGUGGCUUGGAUUACACGGGCCGAAAUUUAUUUCGAUGUUCAGAAUACAUCGGAUGAUAUGCGUGUGAAGUUGGCUCGCCUGAGCAUGGAAGGUUCAACCAUUCAUUGGUUCAACCUGUUGAUGGAGACAAAAGAUGAGUUG